GGGUUGCUCACUGGAGCAUGGGCACCUUACCAGAGUCUGCAUCCCUGAAGAAAAUCCCUCUCCCUCCCACAUCGGCCAUGAACUGCAUAUAAAUCCUCCUGAAGGUAUGAGACCCUUCCACAGCAGGAUGACAAUGGGCUCCAAGGUCCCAUGUGGGUAUAGCACAACUGCUGUGAGUUUAUGUGUGCAACUGAUAAGCCUGGCUCCGAGAUUACCUCUUCACUCCCUGCCUUCUCUAGAUCUUCAAUUCUGUCAUUUUUAGCAGGAUGGAGUCUUCCACCCAUGAGCUGCAUGGAUCUCUGCGGGGACCCUUCAGCAUCUGCAGCUUUCUGGAUGCUGUGACAAAAUACCAGU
rnacentral:lncRNA from 1 species